rnacentral:rRNA from 1 species
CAGUAGCCACGGGAAUACGAAGGGUGCAAGCGUUACUCGGAAUUACUGGGCGUAAAGCGUGCGUAGGUGGUGGUUUAAGUCCGUUGUGAAAGCCCUGGGCUCAACCUGGGAAUUGCAGUGGAUACUGGAUCACUAGAGUGUGGUAGAGGAUAGUGGAAUUUCCGGUGUAGCAGUGAAAUGCGUAGAGAUCGGAAGGAACAUCUGUGGCGAAGGCGACUAUCUGGGCCAACACUGACACUGAGGCACGAAAGCGUGGGGAGCAAACAGGAUUAGAUACCCCGGUAGUCCCUGUCUCUUAUAC